UCGAAUACAGCGGCCUUCGGGCCUCGCUGCACCCUUGUCUUUUGCGCACCGUAUUGUUUCCUCGGCGGGCUUGCCUGCCGGUUGGACUAUCAUAAAACCUCUUUGUAGUUGCAAUCAGCGUCAGAAAAACAAUAAUUAUUA
rnacentral:misc_RNA from 1 species